rnacentral:rRNA from 1 species
GAUGAACGCUGGCGGCGUGCUUAACACAUGCAAGUCGAACGGAAAGGCCCUGCUUUUGUGGGUUUCUCGAUUGGCGAACGGGUGAGUAACACGUGAGUAACCUCCCCUUGACUUUGUGAUAACUUCAGGGGACUGGGGCGAAUACCGGGUAGGAUCUCCUGCUGCGUGUGGGUGGUUGGUAAGUGUCGGCUUUUGUGGAUGGACUCGCUGGUUCUGGGCUUGUUUGUGUGGUAGUGGCUUUCCACGGCUUUGACGGGUAGCCGACAUGAGAGGGGGACCGGGCACCAUGGGACUGAGAUACGGAGCAGAAUCGUACGGGAGGCAGCAGUGGAGAGUAUUGCGCAACGGGCGGAAGCCUGAUGUAGAAACGCCGCGUGCGGGAUGCCGGCCUUUGGGUUGUAAACCGCUUUCGACUGUGCCGAAGCGUGCGUGACGGUAAUGGGUAAAGAAGCACCGGCUAACUACGUG